GUGGAUAUCUUGGGUCAAUUCCAGAAGGCAUUGUGUUCUCUGGAGGGGCGGGAAGAAGAUUUGCAUGUCUGACCUCAUGCAAAGCUCCAGCUGCAGAGCAUAUAAACUGAAGGAGAGUAGUCAGUCAUCAGUCUUACCAGCGUUAGACUCAGCACUUUCCAAACAGCUCAAGACUAUGGCAGCCCUCCGUUCCACUUUUCUACCACUGGGGCUGUUUCUGUACCUUGGACUACACUUUUCUUCCGCCAACUUUACAAAUUUCACCGACAACUGCAUGGUCUUUGCUGAGGUCUUCACCACCCAAAACCCAGGAAUUGAGAUCGAGACAGAAGUUUUUCAGGGCAAAACGAUCUACACAAUUGGGGUUCCUGUGAGUGACGAUGUUAGCACGGUGAUCCUACAAGUCGUGGACAGGCACAACAACUCGGUGGGCCUCUGUCAAGGAGCCAAUGAGGACUGCAAUGGCAGCGCCCUGUAUUACCUGACUCACCCUAACAACACAUUCUUCAAGGCAAAUUGUGUUCUGAACUCCAAGGACAUAGCUGACAAGCUGCUAGUCCUCCUUGUCGAUUUCAACCACUCAGCUGUUUUUAUUUCAAGGAAUCUAGGAGGAAAAGUGAUACCUACAACCUCAACCACCAGGAUGACUUCUACCAACAAUCUGAACACAACCAUGACUAUCGACACAGCCGUGACCAUGACCACAGCCCAAACCAUGACCAUGGCCCAAAGCAAGACUACAGCCCAAACCAUGACCACAGCUCAAACCAUGACCACAGCCCAAACCACAACCACAGCCCAGAUCAAGACCAGAGCCCAAACCAAGAAUACAGCCCAAACCAAGACCACAGCCCAAAAUUUGGCUGUGAGACCCUUCAGUAGCACCAUUGCAGGUGCCAUUCACAUCAUGCUUGUUUUUCUUGCCAGUAAGCUCCUCUUCUAAAGGAAACCAGGAAAGCAAUUACAUAGUUUCCAGUGCAGCCUCCCGUGCUCGGGCUCUAGACUAGGACUUGAAUGUAGGUGAAUGAAGGCUUCAGUUGUGCAACUCCACUGCCCCUAUUUCAGAGUAAGAACUGGGGUACUCGCUGGUGGGCAUGGGUCACACCAAUGUUCAACUGGACACAAAUUUAGAUUUUUGUAAAUACACAGACCUAGCCUGACUAUAGCCUGGAAUUCUGCCUUUGGAUAUAACAGCCACUCCAAACUUUUGUUCAUAGCCAAAGGAUUCCUCUGUGCCUCCUAAUUUUCUGGAGGAAGACUCUUUCCUUACGUUCAAGAUGAUCUCAGGUUUCUGACCAAAAUCCUUCUAGAGGAAAUAGAAUUCCUGUGGCUGGGGGACUCAAGAAGGAUAAAUAGCUUUGAGAGUAUGGCAACUUCCCAUCUUAUCCUUAAGAGUAGAUUCAAAAGAGCAAGAGGAUAGGAUGAUGCCAUGUCACCAAUGAUAGGAAAAAUUAUGUUCUUUGUUCUAAAUCACACCAAAUAAAUGAUACUUGAAACAAGAAUUACUGUGUUAAAUUCAAAUUUAA
rnacentral:lncRNA from 1 species